rnacentral:rRNA from 1 species
GACGAACGCUGGCGGCGUGCUUAACACAUGCAAGUCGAACGGAAAGGCCCUGCUUGCAUUGUACUCGAGUGGCGAACGGGGGAGUAACACGUGGGUGAUCUGCCCUGCACUUCGGGAUAAGCCUGGAAAACUGGGUCGAAUACCGGAUAGGAGCCAUUCUUAGUGUGAUGGUUGGAAAGUUUUUUCGGUGUAGGAUUAGCUCGCGGCCUAUUAGCUUGUUGGUGGGGUAAUGUCCUACCAAGGCGGCGACGGGUAGCCGGCCCGAGAGGGUGGACGGCCACAGUGGGACUGAGGUAGGGCCCAGACUGGUACGGGAGGCAGAAGUGGGGAAUAUUGCAGAAUGGGCGCAAGCGUGAUGCAGAGACGCCGCGUGGGGGAUGACGGCCUUCGGGUUGUAAACGCCUGUCGCUAGGGAAGAAGCUUUUUGUGACGGUACCUAGAUAAGAAGCGCCGGCUAACUACGUG